GCUUUAAAAGUGUCAAUUUAAUAAUUUAUUAGAGUAUUGUUCUUGAUGUUGAAAUAAUGUUGACUGCUGAUUUUUCCUUUCUGAAGAUGAUAUUUUAUUCUCCUCUAUUUAGACUACCCGUUGUUCAAGAAUUCUUGAAAACAAUGAUGGCAAUGUAGUGUUAUAAAUGUUUUAAUUCUAGGACCACUUCACAGAAAAUAUCUGAAGUCUCUGCCUGCUACUCUGCCUUCCCUGCACUCCUCUGGACUUGUGGAGAUUGGUCCUCAGUGGUCUGAUGGCUUCUGUGAUGGGUCUGAGGGUGGCCUGACGGUAUAAUUUGGGUUCCCCAUCCUCCCACUGUCUCUCUGAGCAUCUUUGUGGAUGUGCAGCAGGACGGGUAGCCGAACCCAUACACUUUCCCCCUCCUCUGAAAGGACGUGUUACCUUGGAAUCAUUUCCCCCAAAGCCCUGGGAGUGGCGGGCGGUCCCGCAGGGAUGGGGGAAGCACUCUCCAGGGUCCUGGACCGAAGGCUCGGCCGCGCUCCUGACUGGGUCAGGAUGGUGCAACAAAACCAUUGCUCUGACUUCUAAAGAGACCGUAGCAAUAAGUAAGAGGCUUUCACCCAUGGUCCUCAACACAGUUUCUGCUUUUCUCAUUAAUAAGCAGAAUUAGUAAUUUAGGGGAGCAUAUGGCUCAUUUCUAGUCGGUU